GGAGAUGUACCCAAGAGGCUGAAGGGUCCGCACUCGAAAUGCGGUAGGUCGGAAACGGCGCAAGGGUUCAAAUCCCUUCAUCUCCG
rnacentral:tRNA from 1 species